ACUGAACGCUGGCGGCAGGCCUAACACAUGCAAGUCGAGCGGAGCGGCGGACGGGCGAGUAAUGCCUAGGAAUCUGCCUGGCAGUUGGGGAUAACGUCCGGACACGGGCGCUAAUCCCGCAUACUAUUUGAUGAGCCUAGGUCGGAUAAGCUAGUUGGUGGGGUAAAGGCCUACCAAGGCGACGUUCCGUAACUGGUCUGAGAGGCUGAUCAGUCACACUGGAACUGAGACACGGUCCAGACUCCUACGGGAGGCAGCAGUGGGGAAUAUUGGACAAUGGGCGAAAGCCUGAUCCAGCCAUGCCGCGUGUGUGAAGAAGGUCUUCGGAUUGUAAAGCACUUUAAGUUGGGAGGCGUUACCAACAGAAUAAGCACCGGCUAACUUCGUGCCAGCAGCCGCGGUAAUGC
rnacentral:rRNA from 1 species